CCUACGGGAGGCAGCAGUAGGGAAUAUUGCUCAAUGGGGGAAACCCUGAAGCAGCAACGCCGCGUGGAGGAUGAAGGUUUUCGGAUUGUAAACUCCUUUUGUUAGAGAAGAUAAUGACGGUAUCUAACGAAUAAGCCACGGCUAACUCCGUGCCAGCAGCCGCGGUAAUACGGAGGGUGCAAGCGUUACUCGGAAUCACUGGGCGUAAAGGGCGCGUAGGCGGGAUAUCAAGUCAGAUGUGAAAUCCUAUGGCUUAACCAUAGAACUGCAUUUGAAACUGUUAUUCUAGAGUAUGGGAGAGGUAGGUGGAAUUCGUGGUGUAGGGGUAAAAUCCGUAGAGAUCAAGAGGAAUACUGAUUGCGAAGGCGACCUGCUAGAACGUAACUGACACUGAUGCGCGAAAGCGUGGGGAGCAAACAGGAUUAGAUACCCCUGUAGUC
rnacentral:rRNA from 1 species